CCUUGACGGAUGUGGGUGUCAACUAAGUGCCUGCGGUUUCAUGGCUUGGUGAUCAAACCGGCCUUCUACGUUGGCAAUGUGUUCUACACACUUUACGUUUUCUGCUUUUUCUUUAAAUAUCGAUAGUUGGCUGCUUGUUUGCGAAUUCUUUUCUUUGAAUAUUGGAUCAUGUUUAGGAAAAUAAAAAAUAUUACGCAAAAU
rnacentral:misc_RNA from 1 species